CCUACGGGUGGCAGCAGUGGGGAAUAUUGGGCAAUGGGCGCAAGCCUGACCCAGCAACGCCGCGUGAAGGAAGAAGGCUUUCGGGUUGUAAACUUCUUUUCUCAGGGACGAAGAAAGUGACGGUAGCUGAGGAAUAAGCCGCUGCUAACUACGUGCCAGCAGCCGCGGUAAUACGUAGGUGGCAAGCUUCAUCCGGAUUUAUUGGGUGUAAAGGGCGUGUAGGCGGCAGGACAAGUCAGAUGUGAAACACCAGGGCUCAACCCCGGGCCUGCAUUUGAAACUGUGCUGCUUGAGUGCUGGAGAGGCAAUCGGAAUUCCGUGUGUAGCGGUGAAAUGCGUAGAUAUAAGGAGGAACACCAGUGGCGAAGGCGGAUUGCUGGACAGUAACUGACGCUGAGGCGCGAAAGCGUGGGGAGCAAACAGGAUUAGAUACCCGAGUAGUC
rnacentral:rRNA from 1 species